UACGUAGGGUGCGAGCGUUAAUCGGAAUUACUGGGCGUAAAGCGUGCGCAGGCGGUUCGUUAAGUCAGCUGUGAAAGCCCCGGGCUCAACCUGGGAAUUGCGGUUGAAACUGGCGAACUAGAAUCUGGCAGAGGGGGGUGGAAUUCCACGUGUAGCAGUGAAAUGCGUAGAGAUGUGGAGGAACACCGAUGGCGAAGACAGCCCCCUGGGCUGAGAUUGACGCUCAGGCACGAAAGCGUGGGGAGCAAACAGG
rnacentral:rRNA from 1 species